AUUGAACGCUGGCGGCAGGCCUAACCCAUGCAAGUAGAACGAGUGGCGGACGGGUGAGUAAUGUCUGGGAAAAUGCCUGAUGGAGGGGGAUAACUACGGGAAACGGUAGCUAAUACGGAAUACAAUCGGAUGUGCCCAGAUGGGAUUAGCCUGGUGGUGGGGUAACUGCUCACCAAGGAGACGAUCCCUAGCUGGUCUGAGAGGAUGCCCAGCCACACUGUAACUGAGACACGUUCCAGACUCCUACGGGAGGCAGCAGUGGGGAAUAUUGCACAAUGGGCGCAAUCCUGAUGCAGCCAUGCCGCGUGUAUGAAGAAGGCCUUCGGGUUGUAAAGUACUUUCAGCGUGGAGGCGUUACCCGCAGAAGAAGCACCGGCUAACUCCGUGCCAGCAGCCGCGGUAAUUC
rnacentral:rRNA from 1 species